rnacentral:rRNA from 1 species
UACGAAGGGGGCUAGCGUUGCUCGGAAUCAUUGGGCGUAAAGCGCGUGUAGGCGGCUUGGUAAGUCCGGUGUGAAACCUUGGGGCUCAACCCCAAGCCUGCACUGGAUACUGCCUCGCUUGAGUCCGGGAGGGGAGAGCGGAAUUCCUAGUGUAGCGGUGAAAUGCGCAGAUAUUAGGAAGAACACCGGUGGCGAAGGCGGCUCCCUGGAACGGUACUGACGCUGAGACGCGAAAGCGUGGGGAGCGAACAGG